UAGAGAAAACUGCUGUGGAAAACUCGGCCAGAAGCUAGCAUUUGUCAGGUGAAUCCACAACAUCACCACAAACGUCAUUUCAAGCCAGUUAGAUAUGUUCAUGGAUAACAUUAGCAGUGGAGAGGAGGAAGACUGGAUAGGAAGAAGAGUAAAGGAGACAGAGGAGGAAAGAUUGGAGAGGAAGGAGAAAGGAAAAUUAAUUCCUGUUUUCCCGGUUUUGACCAUUCUGCCUGCCCUGAGCCUGCCUGCCGUUCUGUACCUUGUCACAUCACCUUGGAUUAUUGACCUCUGCCUGCUGUUCUGUACCUUAUGGACUCUGAUCUGGAUUACUGACCUCUGCUUGCCCUUGACCAGUCAUUUUGCCUGCCCCCUGUUCUAGUAAUACACUUUUGUUACAACGACACUGUCUGCAUCUGGGUCUUCUCCUGAAACAUGAUAGUUUAAUCUGUUUUCUAAUUACAUUUAUUUGGAUACAUCCAUAACAAUGAGCUAAUGAUGCAUUUCUCCUGGCAUAGAAAUGUCCUCUCUCCUCAGGACAAUUGUUCAGAGGAGCUAGCAAACAACACAGCUAACAUAAUCACUUCAAACUGAAGCCGGAAAGACUGCAAGCUAGCUGCACUUCGUUUUACCUUUUUUCAAUUGACAUUUUUUUGUGGUUUUGUGGUUACAAAACGUCCUUGCUUGUUUGAAUGGCUUGCAAUGAAAAACUACAUUUCAUUUAGUUCCAAACAGCUGCAUGAUUAAAUAACAGACAGGGACCUCAGUGCUGUGUAACAAAGAUACUGUUACUGCUGCACACCAUUUUUACACUAUUGUCUUUUUCCAUUUGCACAGCCUGAUAACAGUUUGAUUAUCUUUAGAGUUCCAUCAAUGGCAUUUUUUGGUGUUGGUUAUGGUAGAAUGAUGGAUGACCAUGAGUACAUAGGAGUGCCAGGUCUACAAUUAAUAACAUACAUUUAUUUAUAGCAACCAGCACACCCAUGUCAGUUCUACCACAUAAACUCACGUCCUCUCACUGUCAACUGCAUUUUUUUCACGUGUAAGUAUGUGUAAAUAUUUGUAUGAACAUAACAAGAUUCAACAACUAAGACAAACUGAACAAGUUCCACAGACAUGUGACUAACAGAAAUUGAAUAAUGUGUCCCUGAACAAAGGGGGGUCAAAGUAACAGUCAGUAUCUGGUGUGGCCACCAGCUGCAUUAAGUACUGCAGUGCAUCUCCUCCUCAUGGACUGCACCAGAUUUGCCAGUUCUUGCUGUGAGAUGUUACCCUACUCUUCCACCAAGGCACCUGCAAGUUCCUGGACAUUUCUGGGGGGAAUGGCCCUAGCCCUCACCCUCUGAUCCAACAGGUCCCAGAUGUGCUCAAUGGGAUUGAGAUCCGGGCUCUUCGCUGGCCAUGGCAGAACAUGGACAUUCCUGUCUUGCAGGAAAUCACGCACAGAACGAGCAGUAUGGCUGGUGGCGUUGUCAUGCUGGAGGGUCAUGUCAGGAUGAGCCUGUAGGAAGGGUACCACAUGAGGGAGGAGGAUGUCUUCCCUGUAACGCACAGUGUUGACGAACCCUCCACCUCCAAAUUGAUCCCGCUCCAGAGUACAGGCCUCAGUGUAACGCUCAUUCCUUUGACGAUAAACGCAAAUCUGACCAUCACCCCUGUUGAGACAAAACCGCAACUCGUCAGUGAGGAGCACUUUUUGCCAGUCCUGUGGUCCAGCGACGGUGGGUUUGUGCCCAUAGGCGAUGUUGUUGCCGGUGAUGUCUGGUGAGGACCUGCCUUACAACAGGCCUACAAGCCCUCAAUCCUGCCUCUCUCAUGCUAUUGCGGACAGUCUGAGCACUGAUGGAGGGAUUGUGCAUUCCUGGUGUAACUCAAGCAGUUAUUGUUGCCAUCCUGUACCUGUCCCGCAGGUGUGAUGUUCGGAUGUACCGCUCCUGUGCAGGUGUUGUUACACGUGGUCUGCCACUGCGAGGAUGAUCAGCUGUCCGUCCUGUCUCCCUUUAGCUCUGUUUUAGGCGUCUGACAGUACGGACAUUGCAAUUUAUUGCCGUGGCCACAUCUGCAGUCCUCACAUGCCUCCUUGCAGCAUGCCUAAGGCACGUUCACGCAGAUGAGCAGGGACCCUGUGCAUCUUUCCUUUGGUGUUUUUCAGAGUCAGUAGAAAGGCCUCUUUAGUGUCCUAAGUUUUCAUAACUGACCUUAAUUGCCUACUGUCUGUAAGCUGUUAGUGUCUUAACGACCCUUCCACAGGUGCAUGUUCAUUAAUUGUUUAUGGUUCAUUGAACAAGCAUGGGAAACAGUGUUUAAACCCUUUACAAUGAAGAUCUGUGAAGUUAUUUGGAUUUUUAAGAAUUAUCUUUGAAAGACAGGGUCCUGAAAAAGGGACGUUUAUUUUUUUGCUGAGUUUAGUUACCAGUUCUGUCAUCACACAUCAAAGGAGAGGAAAAAUGUUGAGAAGCAAUAUAAAGUAGAUCCUUCAAACCUGCGCAGUAGUAGCCUAUGGAAGUAGAAAUGUUGGGGGAUGGUGUUAUUGGUGUGUUUGUGUAUAAUGUAGGCUACAAGCUUAUGGGAAAAAGUCCUUCUCAGACAAUAAACUUAUUCCCUCAGUCA
ensembl:lncRNA